rnacentral:rRNA from 1 species
UGUUAAUAAAAUUGUUUUAUAUAUUUUUGGUUUGCUUAAUAUUAAUUAAAUAAAUUUAAGUUAUUGUAAAAUAAAUUGAUUGAAUUAUCUUUACUAUAGUAAAUUAGUACUGUGAAGGAACUUUUUUAUAAAUAUGUUAUAACUAAUAAAAGGUGAUUUUAUUUAUUGUAUCUUGUGUAUCAGAGUGUAUUUAAGUAGGUUAUAGAAUUUUUUUUAUCUCGAAUUUAAAAGAUUUAAUUGAAGAUAUUGGUUAUUGUUGCAUAAUUAUUAAUAAUUUUUAAUUGGUAAUGAAAUGUUACUCGUUUUUAAGGAUAUCUAGUUUUUUAAUAAAUGAAUUUAAUUCAAAAAGUAUAAUUUAUUAAAUAAUUUAUUAUUUUAAUAUUUUGUGCUUUUAAUUUUAAGAGGGAUAAACUUUUUAAAAUAAAAUUAUAAUAAUAAGAAAUGAAAGGAUUUUAUUAAUUUAGAAUUUGUUAAUGAUUAAAGGAUGUUAAAAUUUAAUUCUUUAUUUAAGUGAUUUAUAUUUAUUUUUAUUUAAUUUUUAUAUUAAAAUGUUGAGUUUAAUUAAAAAAUUUUGGAAAAUAUGAUUUAAUUAGUAAAAUUUUGAUUUAUUUUGUUAAAUUGAUUGAUAUGUUAAUAUGAAGAAUUAGGCAAAAAUUUUGCUCACCUGUUUAUUAAAAACAUGGUUUCUUGUAUUUAUUUAAGAAAUUUAACCUGCCCACUGAAUAAAUUUUGAAGGGCCGCAGUAUAUUGACUGUGCAAAGGUAGCAUAAUCAUUAGUCUUUUAAUUGAAGGCUGGUAUGAAUGGUUGAAUGAGGUGAAUUCUGUUUUAUAUUAAUUUAUAUUGAAUUUAGAUUUUAAGUAAAAAGACUUAAAUAAUAUUAAGGGACGAGAAGACCCUAUAGAGUUUAAUAAAUAUAUUAAUUAAUUGAGUUAUCAAUAUAAUUUUUGAUUAUUAAAAGAAUUUAUUUAAUUGGGGUGAUUGGAAGAUAAAUUUAACUCUUCUUUAUUUUUAAUAUUAUAAUUAGUUAUAUGAUCCAUAUUUAAUGAUUAUAAGAUUAAAUUACCUUAGGGAUAACAGCAUAAUUUUUUUUGAGAGUUCAUAUCGAGAAAAGAGAUUGUGACCUCGAUGUUGGAUUAAGAUUAGUUUUGGGUGCAGAUGUUCAAUAACUAGGUCUGUUCGACCUUGAUAAUCUUACAUGAUCUGAGUUUAAACCGGCGUAAGCCAGGUUGGUUUCUAUCUUUAAUUAAUUUAAAUAUUUUAGUACGAGAGGACCAGAUAUUUAAAAUAAUUUUUAUUUUUGGAGAAUAUUAUUAAUUGA